UGAUGGGUACUGCUUAUUUCUGGUUUUUAUCUGGCUUUCUUGUUCACUUGUACGACUGCAAAGAACCAACUACAAGCCCCCUCAUUACUCUUUAUAAAGUUUUUAAGGCAGCUAUUUGUAAUCGGAACCUAAAUUAUCCUCCCACGCCUACUGGUUACUUCAUGAAUGAAAGACAUGAAGUACAAUUUUCUCCUCGCCAUCGAAUUCUGAGGUGGAUGGACAAAGCAGCAAUUAAAAGAUCUUCCUCUUCCGACCAAGAAGAAUUACCCUCAACAAAUGAAUCAGAAUCUGAAAGUGAACUCUGUUCUGUAGCAGAAGUGAAGGAUGCAAAGCGCCUUUUAACUCUGAUUCCUUUGUGGACAACCUUCCUCAUGUACAGUCUGGUACAGGCAGCAGGGAACACUUUCUUCAUUGAACAAAGCGAUGGCAUGGAUUUUAAAGUUGGCAGCUAUAAUGUCCCUAUCAAUUUGUUCUUUGUACUUAAGUCAUUAACGGGAGACAUAAGUUCAUAUCUAGUCGAUUUACUAAUCCCAAAGCAAUGGACGACACAAACUCAACAACGUGCACAGAUUCUGAAAAUCAAUGCUGGGAUGGUUUUCUCGAUUUUGUGUUGCAUUGUUGCUUGGCAGGUUGAGGUUCACAGAUUGCAGUUAAUCAAGAAAUGUGGUUGUUGGGACAGCGACAAUGAAAACAGAAAAAUUCCCAUGAGUGUCUUGUGGUUAGUUCCACAAUUCUUCCUGUUAGGAUUUAUCGAAGGAUUAGCUGAAGAUGGGCUCAGAGAGUUUUUUUACAACCAAGUAGAUAAAUCAAUGAAGCUUUUUGAAACACCAUUCAAUGGCUUGGUGAUUGGUAU
rnacentral:misc_RNA from 1 species